rnacentral:lncRNA from 1 species
AACCCAGGGACUGAAAGCAGAUCUCCCACACUGCAGGCGGAUUCUUUAUCAGCUGAGCCACCAGGAUGUCUUUGGCACUAGCCAUGAAGUUAAUGAAUACUGUUGUUAGAACCAUGCUCCAGUAUGGAAUAUUUCCAUGUCAUGGAAGUGCAAGAAUGCCUUAAAGCAUAGCCCCUCAGGAUAUCAAGAAGCUUCCUGCUGAUUGGCUUCCUGAUAAAGAAGUGUCAGAAGAAUUGAAGUGAAUGAGAUUCCUCUCUGAAGCCAAGAUGCUGGCUGAUCAUUGCUUCUCACCUCAAGCAUUUGGUUGAAGUGCCAUGGACUCAAAACUUGCACCCCUCAAUUUGCCUCCUCUGGGUGUUCCACAUAAUGGUUGUGAGCAUGUUUAAGUAAUUUAUCUUCUAGACAGCUGAUAUAUCUAUCCACCCAUCAUUUCAUUUUUAAAACAGGAAUUGUCAUUCCCUCUAGCUAAUGGUAGUUGCAGCUGUUCCCUUUUGGUUACCCCUGGUUAACCCACCUGUGUAACGGGUAGACUGUUAUAAUAGGCACACACGGGCUGGAUUUAGGUAGGCGUGAUUUUGUCAGACAAUGAAACAGAUAUUUCCCUUAUUUUAAGAAGUUUUACAUGGUAGUGAGUCUUUCUCCCCUCUCACCCUCUGUACCACCUCCAACACACCUUAGCCAGUUGUUUUACAUUAAAGCUGAGGUUCAAGG